UACGUAGGGUGCAAGCGUUAAUCGGAAUUACUGGGCGUAAAGCGUGCGCAGGCGGUGAUGUAAGACAGAUGUGAAAUCCCCGGGCUCAACCUGGGAACUGCAUUUGUGCCUGCAUCGCUGGAGUGCGGCAGAGGGGGAUGGAAUUCCGCGUGUAGCAGUGAAAUGCGUAGAUAUGCGGAGGAACACCGAUGGCGAAGGCAAUCCCCUGGGCCUGCACUGACGCUUAUGCACGAAAGCGUGGGGAGCAAACAGG
rnacentral:rRNA from 1 species